UACGUAGGGUGCAAGCGUUAAUCGGAAUUACUGGGCGUAAAGCGUGCGCAGGCGGCUUUGCAAGACAGAUGUGAAAUCCCCGGGCUUAACCUGGGAACUGCAUUUGUGACUGCAUGGCUGGAGUGCGGCAGAGGGGAUGGAAUUCCGGCGUGUAGCAGUGAAAUGCGUAGAGUAUGCGGAGGAACACCGAUGGCGAAGGCAAUCCCCUGGGCCUGCACUGACGCUCAUGCACGAAAGCGUGGGGAGCAAACAGG
rnacentral:rRNA from 1 species